UACGUAGGUGGCGAGCGUUGUCCGGAUUUACUGGGCGUAAAGGGAGCGUAGGCGGACUUUUAAGUUAGAUGUGAAAUACCCGGGCUCAACUUGGGUGCUGCAUUUCAAACUGGAAGUCUAGAGUGCAGGAGAGGAGAAUGGAAUUCCUAGUGUAGCGGUGAAAUGCGUAGAGAUUAGGAAGAACACCAGUGGCGAAGGCGAUUCUCUGGACUGUAACUGACGCUGAGGCUCGAAAGCGUGGGGAGCAAACAGGAUUAGAUACCCCUGUAGU
rnacentral:rRNA from 1 species